GACGAACCGUGCGAACGUUGUUCGGAAUCACUGGGCUUAAAGGGCGCGUAGGCGGGCUCUCAAGUCAGGGGUGAAAGCCCGCGGCUCAACCGCGGAAGCGCCUUUGAUACUGGGGGCCUCGAGGGGGGUAGGGGCGUGCGGAACUUCCGGUGGAGCGGUGAAAUGCGUAGAUAUCGGAAGGAACACCGGUGGCGAAAGCGGCGCGCUGGACCCCUUCUGACGCUGAGGCGCGAAAGCCAGGGGAGCAAACAGG
rnacentral:rRNA from 1 species